CUUGCCCACGAGAGAGCUAAGCACAGUCAGAGACAGCAGCUGGCUGUCAGCAGCGGAGACAGAGGAACUGAGCCUGGAAAGAGAUAGGAGAGAGAAAGGGUCAAAAAUGGGGAGAAGAGCUCACAUGAAAUGACGGCAGAAAGAAAACAAAGGACAACAGAACAGCCAUUCCCGCAACCACACUGGGAUUCUACCAAGGGCCAUCAACACUGAAACUUAACAGAGAGAGAGAGAACCACUUUUCAUAAGUCCUCCUGCUCCAACUGCUACCCUCUUAGACUUCGGCAGCCAGCUACUCUAUGUGACAGAACAGAGAGACACUUUCUAUUGACCUGUUUUCAUUUGUACUCUGUGUGUGUGUGUGGUGGGGUGGGGGUGCUGCCUUGUUUUGGCACUGAAAAAAGCUGGAAUAUGACAAUAUCGAAAUAUGAUGUUUACCAUCAGGACCAGAGUGGUUACAGUGCUGGACUGGGGACUCAGGAUAUCUGGGUUCUAGCCUUUACUUGACCAUGAAGUUCACAGGAUGACUUUGUGCUAGUCACUGAUUAUCAGACUAACCUACCUCACAGAUUUGUUGUUACUAGGAUAAAAUGGAGGAGGACCAUGGAAGCUGCCUUGAGUUCCUUACAAGAAGGAAAAGGGGAGAAUACAGAAACAUAGGAAUCUACAUUAUGCUGAGUCAGAUUCUGGGUCCAGCUAGCCCAGAAUCAUAGACAUUGACUGACCAGGGUUGCAAGCAGAAGUUUUACCUACCUGACCUGAAGAUGCCCAGAAUUGAACCUAGGAAAUUCUGUACACAAAGCACAAUGUCUCAUUAGCAAUUUAUGUUGCCAAAGAAGUUCAGGGCAGUAGACGAGGGAACAAAUGUGUCUCCCAUUUCUUUGCCUGAAUUAUCCGACCUGGAUCAUAGUGCUAUCACAGUCUGAAAGGUUUACUUUCUUCCAUUAAUGCUAAUACCUCACAGGUCACACACAGGACAUUUCAUAAGUCACACAUAAGUAGAGUCAUGCUAGAUCAAACCACCAGAGGGACAAAGUGCCAAUCAGUUGUAAUAACUUGCUGUGAUCAGUUUGAAGAGAAGGAAGGAAGUGCUUUAUUCCCUCAUGCUCAUAAGUGCCUUUGUUUGUCAUUCUUCCCAUUUCAUGGAUUGCAGAAACCCAUAGCUUUCCUGUAAUCUCUAUAUAAUCAAGGCUUGCACAGAGUUCACUUUCAGCCAUAAUCAACAUUCUCUCCAGUGGAUAUUGGAUGCAGUAUUUAAAUAGGCACUGCAAAAUAGUGACUAUAUAUCCAUUUUACAACUAUGCUAGAGUAUAAAAGGUGCCUGAGCAACCUAAUCUCGUAAGUGUAUUUUCAAGUAGAUCAGAUGGGUCACAUUGCCUCAAGUACAACCUUCCUAAAAGUGGUGAACCCAUAAUUCCUUCCAGUAUUUGAGUAUUCAGCCUCUACCAGGCACAUAAACACACAUACAAAGAGUUAAAUACUAUUCAGUCUCACAGGGGAAAGUGUUGACUAUUUGCCAAACCUGAAAAAUUUGAGGCUAUUUGCCUUCAAAGUACAAAGUUGAAUUUUCUAGGCAGAUAAAUCAUCUACUUGGUUCACUCAUUAUGCUGGAUUAUCAGAAGCAAAGUAACUAUUCCACCCUUAAUUCAACAUUCACUAUUUCCAGGUCUACCAAAAGUCAACAUCCUAAAUGUAUAAUUUAAAGUUGAGUGAUUUAAAAUACUUCAUAGAAAGUCAGUGUGGAAACAGAAGCACAGCACAGUCUUAAGUCUGACCAUUAACAGGAGGACAGCAGAGAAACCAAAACACAAAUACCAUUUUCCCUGCAACUGAAGUCUUGAGCUUACAAAGUAAUUUAGUACUGCCAAGUACAGAGGUCUCUUGAUAACAUAACAUAUCCCUUGGGCAAUGGGCCAAAAAACUCCUUCUGUGGAGCUUUUUCUUAGAAAAUUCUGCUACACUAUCAGGACCUGGGUGGAAACAAUCUAACAAAGCAUUCAACAGAGAAUGUCUUUCGUCAGCACUUCAUCACUAGCUGACAGAGCUGCAUACAGGAAAGGCAAGUUUGCUGCUAUUAGGACACCCUAUAUUGCACAUGGCAAAAUGCCUUUAAAGUAUAAUUGAUGUUCACAGAAUUGAAGUGUUGUAGCAUGUGACUAAGACAAAGAGGAGAAGACUAGUCUGUUAAGAAAGGAGCCAAAGUCAAGUUCUCUUAUAAAGAAAAGCUAUUCUCUUAACUGUUGGCUUUUCCAUGGGAAAAAUUGUUAAUUGAGGAGUUGUUGUAUAAAACUAUUGCUUUGUUUGGCAUCAGCUCUGCUACAGUACUUCUGCUUUGAAACAGACCAAGAGAAUUUCUCAGAACCACCAAAAGACACAAAUGCUGAAGCUAAUGCAGAACUCACAGCUCUUAACAGAAUUAUCCAGCAGAAACGAAAAGCUCUCCUUAGUCUCUAAACACCUAUCUAUAUACUGAAUUUGUGUUGUGAUAGUGGCAAUUUUUAUACUGCUUCAGAGGCAUUGAAGAGUAAAACUAUUUACAAAAAUCAAACAAGAGUAUGUUUUCUGGCUCUCAGCCAAACUUUAAUCAUUGGUAAGACAGCCAGCUGAGCUCAUCAAAUGCCAUACUUGGGUGAACACAAUAAGAUAAACCAGAGAGCUGAACAGAGAAGGCUAUGCUGUUGUGAUGUUGAGCAGCCCAACAGCUUUAGCCAUAAUGUCAUCUUCACUGGGGGAUGGGGGGGAGGCAAGUUCGAGCAGUCACGGUUUUCCUUCCUUGCUAAAUAGUCCAGCCAUUAAUUGCAACUGCAUCACUAGCUGCUAAAACUGCUUGCUUCCAAUAAUGAAAGCAAAAUUUUCAAGUGAGCAGAAACACUCUCUUUUUACAAACUAUUGUGAGCUUCCUCACACUAAUCUUGCAACAUUUCUUCAGGCUGGAAAAAAAUCAGCAUGCUUUACUUGUAAUCAUACAUGUAGACAUCACUAAAAUAAUAUAAUUAUUUCACACCCAUACCCAUACCCAUACCCAUACCCACACACACACAUACCCCUUCAAAGUCAAAGUAAGUCAAAAUCUUUCUAAACCAUGGAGUGGCAGACCUACGGAAUGUGCUGCUUCAAACUAAAUCCUGAAGGCUCAGUUCUUUCAACAGGAAUUUGCCCAGCCCAAAGCAAUUACACUAAAAGAAUGCUAAAUUGCUGCUGACAACUGGUUCAGGAGCUCUAAAAUUUAAACAGAAAAAUUAACUGCCACAGACAUAAUGCAAGAAAGAACCUUGUAUAAAUGUUAACAUGCCAACGAAAGACCCCAGACACUACAUUCAGCAUUUAAAAACCUUGUAAUAAUUAUUCAUGUUAUAUAAAGGAAUUCAAAAAUAAAAUAAUAUAAUGUGGGUUAAAAGACAGUACACUGCUCAUGCCAUAUAGAAUUACUAAACAGGAAUACAUUGUAUAAUUUUGCUGCAGUUUUAACAUUUCUUCAGAAAUAAGCUCCAGAUUAAGUUACACUAUGGGUUGGACUCAGACUCAACCAUACUUUGAGGAGACCCAUUGAAACCCAUAGGAUUAAAAUAAUUGUGACUAUUGUAAAUUUCAUUGAUGUCAUUAGGUAUCUUCUAAGUAUGACUAAAUCCAGAUCUAAAUAACUGAAAAUAAAGUGCAGUGUAUGUAUGAGUGGUAUUUUAUGAGUGCCAGAAAUCAGAAGCUAGUCAAAAUUCCUGAUGCCACCACUAAAUGCCAUUCUAAGAUGUACAAACAUCCAGAAUGCAGCAUGAAGCAGAUAGAAUCAAAGAAACUCUAGAACAAAAGCCAAUGCUUCUCAGUGGAAUGACACUUAGAAUAUAGAAUGCAAUUUAGUAUAUGAGACACAACGCUAUGUACUUCAUGAGAAACACAGAAGUUGCAGCAAGCAACUAAAAAUGCUUUCUUCUGAGACUGAAAGAGAGCAUUUUUAAAUAACAGGAGACAUAAGAGCACCAAGAAAACCUGUCCAGAUAGCAAAAAGCUUUAACCCUCAGUGGUCCGCCCCUGUAUAUGGCACAUUAUUUAUACCACUUUGUGCACUCCAUUGUGGAAAUAUGGGGUAUACAUAUUCUAAAUAAAUAAAAUUUGCCCAUGCCAAGUGUUUUUGUAUAGAACUAAAUUAUUUCAGCAAAGUCUAACAUUAUUGCUGCAUCUCUUGAAAUAAAGGAGUGAAAAGGGAGCUUUUGAUGGGAUUGAAUGUGCCUUACAUUUGGAAAUGUCUAAUACUCCACCUGAGCAGCUGUACAUGACUGGCAAUUCAGAGGCAGAGCCCUGAUAAACUUGUUUUGCUGGUGAAACAACUUUACACUGAUGUUUAUAGACUAAAAUUAACAACAGAACUCGCUCAUACUCUUCCCUCUCUCCCUCUUCUGUGCCACAGUGUUACAGGACGUGGGCUGGUCAAAAUGUCUUACAAGGACUUUCAGAAAGAACUCCAUACUAUUGGUGAAAAGCUAUGGCUCAAGCUUCAGAGACUACCCAGGGCUGAACCUUUGGAGAUUGUGUCCUUUUUUGUUAUUGUUUUGUUCAUAGUCACAAUACUUUCAAUGAUGAUCAUAGCUUGCAGCUGUUGCUGCACCCGCUGCUGCAGUGGAAGCCCCAAACCCAAGGGAAGGAGGAUCCAAGUUCAGCCAGCAGGCCAUGCAUAAGAAUGCAUUCAUAACAUGGACCUUUGGAGGAAAUAAUCUGUGGAAACUUACAUAGGAAUAGACUUGGACAGUAGUCCACAGAACAAUACCUACCAAUGGAGAAUAUGAGAGAGAGAGAGAGAGAGAAACCCUUAACCUGAGCAGGGUUUAUGACUUGGCCAAUGUAUCAUUUUGUUAAAAGUCAUGCACUUCACAGUACUUGUCUCCCAGUCCAAUCAAGACAAUGAACAUAUUAUGCCAACAGUGAGGAGACAGUCUAGAGAAAUGACAAGCACCAGGACUUCCCUCUGAACUUCAAGUUACAUGCAAUUGCUCAGCCCAACAAACUACACAUGAACACUGUUUUAUCCUCAUUACCCAACUAUCUACAGCCAAGAAUACCAGAAUGUGUGAUUUCUAAUGAAGAGGAAACAAUAAUGCAGCCUUAAAAUUGAGAUGCGACCUCAGAAACUGCAAAGAAGAGCAGCAACAAAUCCUCUUAGCCUUCCUUGCUUCCUUUACAAAAGCACAGACGACUGCCAGAAAGAAUAAAUGUAUUAUUUGCACUAGCCAUUUGUCUGGGCAGGGAAAAAGAUGAAAGGAUAAUGAAUACCCACAACACUAUGCUGUUUUGCUUGCCUGCCUUAAAGUGAAUGUAUUUGUUUGUUUUUAAGAAAAAAGUAUUUUGGCAUUUUUUUUUCCAUUGACAAACCUUGCUGUAUCUGCCUAUUACAAACCAACUCUUUAGUAUUAUGAAAAGGAAACUGAGCUACAUUUCCACUGAUGUGUGUUUAGGAUGUAUUCCUAUAUAAAGAAUUUUCCUAGUAA